GGGGCGUUGGCGCAGCCGGUUAGCGCAGGUGGCUCAUAACCACUCGGUCGCGGGUUCGAGCCCCGCACGCCCCACCG
rnacentral:tRNA from 1 species